UAUAGGAAAAAGUUGGUGGUUAAUUUGUUAGGCAGAAACCAAGUGAUUGAAAUCAAGUGGUUAAUGACUUGAGAGAAUCCGAGCUCGAAUUCUGACUUGAACAAUUCUUAACCAGACUUUUACCUUUCGAACAUCAGAUUACCAGGCCCCUGCAAAGAGAAAUUUUGUUUGCAUCAGGAUCGAACUCUGGAUCUCCAUCUUAAUACUCCUUAUUCGCCUUCUUAAUUUUCGUAUCUUUUAUUACAUUUUUACCUCAG
rnacentral:lncRNA from 1 species